UACGAAGGGGGCUAGCGUUGUUCGGAAUUACUGGGCGUAAAGCGCACGUAGGCGGAUCUUUAAGUCAGGGGUGAAAUCCUGGAGCUCAACUCCAGAACUGCCCUUGAUACUGGGGAUCUUGAGUCCGGAAGAGGUGAGUGGAACUCCGAGUGUAGAGGUGAAAUUCGUAGAUAUUCGGAAGAACACCAGUGGCGAAGGCGGCUCACUGGUCCGGUACUGACGCUGAGGUGCGAAAGCGUGGGGAGCAACA
rnacentral:rRNA from 1 species